GCGGAUGUGGCGGAAUUGGUAGUCGCGCACGGUUCAGGUCCGUGUGGGAGCAAUCCCGUGGAGGUUCGAGUCCUCUCAUCCGCA
rnacentral:tRNA from 1 species